AACGCACAUUGCGCCCUUUGGUAUUCCGAAGGGCAUGCCUGUUCGAGCGUCAUUAUCACCACUCAAGCCCGGCUUGUUGUUGGCGGUGGCGCGGCUCUAAACCGCCGCGCCCCGCCCAAAGAUAAUGACGGCGUCUGUGAGGACUCCUGUACAUUGAGCUUUCGGGCACGUACACGGCUAGAAGUCCAGGCGCCGGUCACCGUCCCUCGGGACACUUUUUUACCAAGGUUGACCUCGGAUCAGGUAGGGAUACCCGCUGAACUUAA
rnacentral:misc_RNA from 1 species